rnacentral:rRNA from 1 species
GUUAGGAAUUUUGGGCAAUGGGCGCAAGCCUGACCCAGCAACGCCGCGUGGGUGACGAAGGCCUUCGGGUUGUAAAGCCCUUUUCUGGGGGAAGAUGAUGACGGUACCCCAGGAAGAAGCACCGGCUAACUACGUGCCCGCAGCCGCGGUAAUACGUAGGGUGCGAGCGUUGCCCGGAUUUAUUGGGCGUAAAGGGCGCGCAGGCGGUUCGGCACGUCCGUUGUGAAAUCGCUCGGCUCAACUGGGCGGGGUCAGCGGAUACGGUCGAACUUGAGCAAGCUAGGGGGCAAUGAAAUUCCCGGUGUAGUGGUGGAAUGCGUAGAUAUCGGGAGGAACACCAGUGGCGAAGGCGGUUGCCUGGAGCUUUGCUGACGCUGAGGCGCGAAAGCGUGGGGAGCGAUC